AACAGAGUCUAAUGGAAUGAUCACUCCCACGAGGCCUCAGCAUCUUGUCUUCUAGGAUGCCCCUUCGGAUGACUCUUCCACUGCCUGACUCCGGUCCCUCCAGAAUCUCUGUAGCUCCUUUUUGCCCUUGGGUACUAUGAAAGUCAUGGACUGGCCCAUGGAUCAGUAGAUCAGAUGCAGCUCUCCCAAUGCGAUUCAUCAGUACUGAAAAUAGAGAAGAACCAGGGGGAAGAGGGAAGGUGCCUCCUAAGGGUGGUUUUUUCAGUGAAGCUGUGGUAUAUGCACUGCAAGAAUGUGAUGCUCAUCAUACUGGAAUGACCAAAAGAUAUGAGUAUGACUGUCUCUUGGGAGACGCCAUCGAGGGCAGUGCCAUGAAACAUGAGAAUCUCUGGGGCACCACAGCAUUGUAACUCAGGAGCUAUGGCUUUGCCAACACUACACAGUCCUGUCUGAUGUCCUGUAGGCGGCUGGGAGUACAUACAUAGGUAUGUAUUGUAGGCACCUUCCGUCACUAUCCUGUUUUUGGAGAGUCAACCAUUCUUUUUUGUAUUUUUAGGGGAUUAAAUAAUUUUGUAAUGUAGUGUGACUCUGAGCAUGGCAGAUGGCAGAAAAAUACAAUAUGUUUUUAAAGAAAUACAAUUUUAUUGUGUUUUGAAAUCCCUUUAGAUGUUUUCUGAUACAACUCCCAGUGACUUAGUUGCAAAGUCAGCUGUCCCAGAUGUGAUAUCUCAGUCCCUGUUAAUCUUUUUAUAAAUUCUUUUGCUAUUUUGUAAUCUUGUGAUUCAUGUCUAUCCUUAAGUGUCCUUUUGCCUUUAUGUCCAUUUGUCUUUAUGCCACUUUUUCAUGUUUCCGCCUCAAUUAAAGAGAAACCAUCAUUCACAGAGCAGCGGCUUAAGCUCUGCCCCUUUGCUGAUUCUCAUCAUAGAAAUUACCCAAGUCUCACCAGACCUGCACCUUGAAGAGGGAAGAUACCAUGAGUGAGGGUUUAGUCCUAACUAGAAAG
ensembl:lncRNA